CACGUAGGGGGCGAGCGUUGUCCGGAAUUAUUGGGCGUAAAGAGCUCGUAGGCGGUGUGUCGCGUCGGGCGUGAAAACCUGCAGCUUAACUGUGGGCUUGCGGUCGAUACGGGCAUCACUGGAGUUCGGCAGGGGAGACUGGAAUUCCUGGUGUAGCGGUGAAAUGCGCAGAUAUCAGGAGGAACACCGGUGGCGAAGGCGGGUCUCUGGGCCGAUACUGACGCUGAGGAGCGAAAGCGUGGGGAGCGAACAGG
rnacentral:rRNA from 1 species